GAUGAACGCUGGCGGCGUGCUUAACGCAUGCAAGUCGAACGGAAAGGCCCAAGCUUGCUUGGGUACUCGAGUGGCGAACGGGUGAGUAACACGUGGGUGAUCUGCCCUGCACUUCGGGAUAAGCCUGGGAAACUGGGUCUAAUACCGGAUAGGACCACAUUUUGGAUGGUGUGGUGGAAAGUUUUUCGGUGUGGGAUGAGCUCGCGGCCUAUCAGCUUGUUGGUGGGGUAAUGGCCUACCAAGGCGUCGACGGGUAGCCGGCCUGAGAGGGUGUACGGCCACAUUGGGACUGAGAUACGGCCCAGCCUCCUACGGGAGGCAGCAGUGGGGAAUAUUGCACAAUGGGCGCAAGCCUGAUGCAGCGACGCCGCGUGGGGGAUGACGGCCUUCGGGUUGUAAACUCCUUUCGCUAGGGACGAAGCGUUAUGUGACGGUACCUGGAGAAGAAGCACCGGCUAACUACGUG
rnacentral:rRNA from 1 species